rnacentral:rRNA from 1 species
GGGGAAUCUUGCGCAAUGGGCGAAAGCCUGACGCAGCCAUGCCGCGUGAAUGAUGAAGGUCUUAGGAUUGUAAAAUUCUUUCACCGGGGACGAUAAUGACGGUACCCGGAGAAGAAGCCCCGGCUAACUUCGUGCCAGCAGCCGCGGUAAUACGAAGGGGGCUAGCGUUGCUCGGAAUUACUGGGCGUAAAGGGAGCGUAGGCGGAUAGUUCAGUCAGAGGUGAAAGCCCAGGGCUCAACCUUGGAAUUGCCUUUGAUACUGGCUGUCUUGAGUAUGGGAGAGGUUAGCGGAACUCCGAGUGUAGAGGUGAAAUUCGUAGAUAUUCGGAAGAACACCAGUGGCGAAGGCGGCUAACUGGCCCAUUACUGACGCUGAGGCUCGAAAGCGUGGGGAGCAAAC